CGGCCCUAAGCUGUCGUCUAUAGGUGCGUCCUGCUGGCGGGAAUGAAACGUUUGCCGCAGAAUACGUCACUCCCAUUUCUAGCGAGAUGCCGCCGGCGAUUAGCCGGCUUCAUUUUCUCUGGCGGUUGCCUCGGUCUAAUGGACCGCGGUCGUCCUGCGGCAAGACGCUUUUAAAUACAAGGCUACUCUCAAAAUCGACCGGCCAUGUUGGUUUGGACACACAUUCGCAUCAGUUCGUCGCUCAAUCGCGAGUUACAGCCUGCAGCCUGCUAGCUAGCAAAGUCAUCGACUACCAUCGUUUAAAUACCUUGGCCAGAGCAUAACCGGUUAUCUUCACCCAAGAGACCUACUAUUGGUCAAUCAUUUUGGCUUUAAAGAAGUUGCAUCGAUUCCAGAAAACCAGGAAAAUGUUGAGCCAUCUGUAGACUUCAGAGCUGAACCAGGUUUCUCCCCAGUAAUCCAGACUCCACAGAGCCAAUAGUUUGAGUACAAAUAAGUGAUUUUAUUUGUGACGUUUUUUUUGUCUUGGAAACUAUUGCUUCUAUUUAAUAUUAGGAAUCCUUUUAUCCAUAAUCUGUUUUUCAUUAGGGCACUUGACUUUCUGGAAAAUAGGUGUCGAGGUGUGUUGUACAUAUCAUUAGCUUUGCACAGUUCAAUUAUUGUUUCAUUACUGAAUAUGCAAUCUCUGCAGUGAAAUUAAAGCUGUUAUGUUUGUUCCCCCCGCUCGUCAAGUACUAAGCUUUACACCACCAGCAGCAAAUUUACCCUGGCAGCAUAUGGGUGAAAACGCUGGGGGUGUGUAAAUACGUUGCGCUAAACUAAGUUUUACAUUUAAGUCCAAUUCAUUAAAUGUAUGCAAUUACUUCCAACAUAUUUUUACGUCAAUGAUUAUCAAUAGGAGAAAGUAAUCGCUUUGUUAUUGGCCCUUGGACGCCCCUGGCAUCUCUUGUACAGCACAAAGUUUUCAGCUAUGAAAGUAUAUUCUAGGCAUAUGUCUUAUUGUCCAGUGUUUUAACAGUAGUGAAAAUACUGCCUUUAGUAGUUUUAAAAAAAAAAUUAUGUAGAUUUCCAGAGACUCCAGAAUGAGGGAAUCUCUGAGGGAGGACAACCAAGCCCUGAGGGAAUGCAAUGCACAAGCAGCUUCGGAUGACAGCGGCUCACUUCAAGAGCAGGUGAAGCAAGUAGGGUCAAUGUUGAAGACAUUUGCUCUCACUGGGCAAUCAGGUGCGUUACCUGAAAGGAGCAUCUGACCGUGAAGGCAGAAAAAGGCGCCGCACAGCUGAGAAGGACCCACAGCCGACCCCUUAAACCUAGGCUGACUACUGACACCCCAGCAUCACUGACAACUGGAACACUUUCUUUAUCGUGCAGUCAGUAACAUCAAGAAGCCAGAAGUGCCAGACUACAAUCACCAUAUCCACCCUGUUUUUUUUGUAUUUUAACUUUAGUAUUGGCUUAUUUCAUUCUGUCUUAACGAUUCUAUUAUAGUUUGUAAAUCCUAUUUCAUACCUGUUACUUGAUAUUGCACAUUAACUAGUACCAAAAUUCUACUUUCAUUUCAUCAUUGUGCUUAACUGUUAUUCUAUUAAUAAUAGCUUGGAAAUACUAUUUACUACCUCUGAUACUUGAUAUUGCACAUUACCUGGUACCAAAUAAUCUAUUUAGUCUGUUUUUAACAUCAGCAUUUUUCAUUCCAUCACAGUGCUUAACUGUUAUUCUAUUGUUAAAUAUAUCUUGUAAAUCCUUGUGCCACAGGUCGGCUUUGCAGUUAUAAUGGUCUGUUCUACUACUGUUUUUACCUCCGUAUUUUUAUAUAAAUAAAUAUGUCAAGUUUUGUUUAUCACAGAUACAAGAGACACAGAUCUUAUUGCAGCACGGUGUAAAUCUUGUGCUCCAGGUCAGCAAUGCCAUGAUAAUGGUCUAUUCUACUCUAGAGCUUUACUCUAAAUUAUUACCACUUUUCUUAUUGUUAGAAAUGGCUUGAAAAUGUGAUGUUAUACCUCGAUUUAUUUGGUAUCCUGCACAUUCUUUGGUACCAAAUAUCCUCAUUACUUGUUAUGUUUACUGGUAAUUAUUUUCAUCCCAGAGCUGACCACUUUAUAUUAUUAACAAUUAUUGUGUUUGUGUUAUAAUUUGCUUGUAUGGCUGUUUUUUUUUACCAACAUUUAAUUGGAAACCUGCAUGUUCUGUAGUGUGUAUUUAUAUGUAUAUUUUUUUCUGCCUGUUAUUUAUUUCAGUGAUCUGACACAUCUUGUUUGAAUGACAGUUACUGUACUUUGAAAUGUGG
ensembl:lncRNA